rnacentral:lncRNA from 1 species
AACAAUUCAAUACAUAAAACUAGAGUUAUAAUCCAUAAACAAUCAUCAAUACAUCAAAUCCAUCAAACCUUAAAGGGAACUACUCCAUCGACAUGGAGAAAUUUAUCACAAAUAUAAUUAAAGUAUAGGAAACAUAGAUUCGAUCCAAACUCGGGUCUUGAGUGAGGAAGGAAUGAUGAAAUCCUUGUGUUUAUGUUCUUCCUCCUCCUUAGCUUCCUUAGGUCGAAAAUAUGUCAAAAGUCCUCUCAAAAACAUGUUUUUAGUGUAUUUAUACCAAGUAGGAACAAACCCAAACGAAACUACCCUCUUUGAGCCGAAGUGGAAAAAACUACAAACUUUUUACACUUCAUGUGUCGUACUAUGCUACGCAUGGAGCAUAGCAUUAGUGUAAUUUGCUCGGUUAUAAACCCUCUGAAAUUAGCUUGUCUGACAAAAUUUCGUACUGAUGCUACGCUUUAUGCCACGCAUUAUGCCUAGCAUUAGUGUAUUUUUCUAUUAGACCCAAAAACUCCAAGUUUCUAAACUUCUCAAACUUCUGACGAAAUUUUGUACUAAUGCGACGCUUAAUGCCACGCCUUAUGCGAUGCAAUAGUACUUUUUUCCCCUAGCCCUUGAUCUUUUUUCCAUCUUUCGUAUGCAAUGCCGGUCCACGAGCCCCGGACGCGAUCCCGGUUUAAUUCCUUAGCUUUUUCUCAGACUUCAAAGCUCCAAUUAUUCGAUUUAGCUCCAGAACAUCUCCUACAAAGCAUAAAAUACACAAUCAAUGAAAAACACUAUUAAUUAAAGCUCAAUCACAUGUAAAGUGCAGUGAAUUAGAGUGCAAUAAGAGACUAAAAUUUGGGAUUAUAGUCUACCAUCACACACCAUGUCCAGGUCACCACCUUCGUCCCUCUCUCCCUCUCCACCAGUCCACCACUAUCACCUUAAUUUUUUAGUUUUCACCAGCUAUGUCUAAUUGCCGUUGCGACAAUUCAUCAAACAGGUUGUGCGCGUAAUGUAGUUAUUGCAAUGUCGGUAGCCAAAGUAGUGAAACGCUCCCCCAAAAUUUUCAGUGGGAAUUAUGCUUUAAAAGACAAGAACAUCUUCACAACAAUUCGGCCGUAAGAGACAAAGUUUUCAUGUCAUUCGCACUCAGAUAAGGCUCUAGAGAAGAUGGGGAAAAAAUCAUGGGAGAUAAGACAAGAUGAGAAAGACCAGGAGAAGAGAGAGAACAUAACGACUACCUGGUCGACGGAGUUGGUGGAGAAGGUUGUGAUCACCAGAGAAUUAUUUUUUGUCCAAGAUUUCAAACAAUUAUUAAAAGAAAGGAUUUUCAACAAAAAAUGAAAAAAAUUGACAUAAAUUUCUCCCCCUUCCAUACCUGAGUUUUCAUUGAUUGCUCUCGAUUGAAACAAAGAGGAUGAUGAAGUUUACCCAUUUGUUCUUAGGUAUUGAAUUUAGUAAAUCAAUUUACUAAAUUCAAUGAUGAGGUUAAUCAUCCAUGACAAGAGAAAUUGUUAGUUGAUUUUUA